CCUACGGGCGGCUGCAGUUAGGAAUCUUCGGCAAUGGGGGAAACCCUGACCGAGCGACACUGCUUGAAGGAUGAAGGUCUUCGGAUCGUAAACUUCUGAACCUGCGACGAAAAAUGACGGUAGCAGGCUAAUAGCACCGGCUAACUCCGUGCCAGCAGCCGCGGUAAUACGGAGGGUGCGAGCGUUAUCCGGAAUCACUGGGCGUAAAGGGCGCGUAGGCGGUUUGUUAAGUCCGAUGUUAAAGACCGAGGCUCAACCUCGACACGGCGUUGGAU
rnacentral:rRNA from 1 species